rnacentral:rRNA from 1 species
GUGGGGAAUAUUGGACAAUGGGCGAAAGCCUGAUCCAGCCAUGCCGCGUGUGUGAAGAAGGUCUUCGGAUUGUAAAGCACUUUAAGUUGGGAGGAAGGGUAGUAACCUAAUACGUUGCUACUUUGACGUUACCGACAGAAUAAGCACCGGCUAACUUCGUGCCAGCAGCCGCGGUACUACGAAGGGUGCAAGCGUUAAUCGGAAUUACUGGGCGUAAAGCGCGCGUAGGGGGUUUUGUAAGUUGGAGGUGAAAUCCCCGGGCUCAACCUGGGAACUGCCUCCAAAACUGCAUGACUAGAGUACGGUAGAGGGUAGUGGAAUUUCCUGUGUAGCGGUGAAAUGCGUAGAUAUAGGAAGGAACACCAGUGGCGAAGGCGACUACCUGGACUGAUACUGACACUGAGGUGCGAAAGCGAGGGGAGCAAAUGGGAUUAGAUACCCCUGUAGUCC